AUUAGCUAGUUGGUGGGGUAAAAGUCUACCAAGGCGACGAUCUGUAGCGGGUCUGAGAGGAUGAUCCGCCACACUGGGACUGAGACACGGCCCAGACUCCUACGGGAGGCAGCAGUGGGGAAUAUUGGACAAUGGGCGAAAGCCUGAUCCAGCCAUGCCGCGUGUGUGAAGAAGGCCUUUUGGUUGUAAAGCACUUUAAGCGAGGAGGAGGCUACUUAGAUUAAUACUCUAGGAUAGUGGACGUUACUCGCAGAAUAAGCACCGGCUAACUCUGUGCCAGCAGCCGCGGUAAUACAGAGGGUGCGAGCGUUAUUCGGAUUUACUGGGCGUAAAGCGUGCGUAGGCGGCUUCUUAAGUCGGAUGUGAAAUCCCUGAGCUUAACUUAGGAAUUGCAUUCGAUACUGGGAAGCUAGAGUAUGGGAGAGGAUGGUAGAAUUCCAGGUGUAGCGGUGAAAUGCGUAGAGAUCUGGAGGAAUACCGAUGGCGAAGGCAGCCAUCUGGCCUAAUACUGACGCUGAGGUACGAAAGCAUGGGGAGCAAACAGGAUUAGAUACCCUGGUAGUCCAUGCCGU
rnacentral:rRNA from 1 species